UAGGGAAUAUUAGUUAAUGUGCGAAAGCGCGAACUAGCAACGCCGCGUGUGCGAUGAAGGCCUUCGGGUUGUAAAGCACUUUUCCAAGGGACGAGGAAGGACGGUACCUUGGGAAUAAGCAUCGGCUAACUACGUGCCAGGAGCCGCGGUAAAACGUAGGAUGCGAGCGUUAUCCGGAUUUACUGGGCGUAAAGCGCGUGUAGGCGGUUCGGUAAGUUGGAUGUGAAAGCUCCCGGCUUAACUGGGAGAGGUCGUUCAAUACUGCCGAGCUAGAGGAUGGUAGAGGAAGGUGGAAUUCCGAGUGUAGUGGUGAAAUGCGUAGAUAUUCGGAGGAACACCAGUGGCGAAAGCGGCCUUCUGGACCAUUUCUGACGCUCAUACGCGAAAGCUAGGGUAGCAAACGG
rnacentral:rRNA from 1 species